CCUACGGGAGGCAGCAGUGGGGAAUAUUGGGCAAUGGGCGAAAGCCUGACCCAGCAACGUCGCGUGAAGGAAGAAGGCUCUCGGGUUGUAAACCUCCUUUGAUAGGGAAGAGCAGAAGACGGUACCUGUCGAAUAAGCAACGGCUAACUACGUGCCAGCAGCCGCGGUAAUACGUAGGUGGCAAGCGUUGUCCGGAUUUACUGGGUGUAAAGGGCGUGUAGCCGGGCUGACAAGGCAGAUGUGAAAUCCGGGGGGUCAACCCCCGAACUGCAUUUGAAACUGUUGGUCUUGAGUAUCGGAGAGGCAGGCGGAAUUCGUGGUGUAGCGGUGAAAUGCGUAGAUAUAAGGAGGAACACCGGUGGCGAAGGCAGCCUGCUGGACGACAACUGACGGUGAGGCGCGAAAGCGUGGGGAGCGAACAGGAUUAGAUACCCUAGUAGUC
rnacentral:rRNA from 1 species